AGCAGCCGCGGUAAUUCCAGCUCCAAUAGCGUAUAUUAAAGUUGUUGCAGUUAAAAAGCUCGUAGUUGAAUUUCGGGACCAAUCUGCCGGUCGUGCCUCCGGUACGCACUGGUUUUAUUGGUUUCUCCCUUCUGACGAACCAUGAUGUCAUUAAUUUGGUGUCAUGGGGAAUCAGGACUGUUACUUUGAAAAAAUUAGAGUGUUUAAAGCAGGCUCACGCUUGAAUACAUUAGCAUGGAAUAAUGAAAUAGGACGUUUGAUUCUAUUUUGUUGGUUUCUAGGAUCGACGUAAUGAUUAAUAGGGAUAGUUGGGGGGCAUUAGUAUUCAAUUGUCAAAGGUGAAAUUCUUGGAUUUAUUGAAGACUAACUACUGCGAAAGCAUUUGCCAAGGAUGUUUUCAUUAAUCAAGAACGAAAGUUAGGGGAUCGAAGACGAUCAGAUACCGUCGUAGUCUUAACCAUAAACUAUGCCGACUAGGGAUCGGAUGAUGUUAAUUUUUUUAAUGACUCAUUCGGCGCCU
rnacentral:rRNA from 1 species